rnacentral:rRNA from 1 species
ACCUACGGGAGGCAGCAGUAGGGAAUCUUCCACAAUGGGCGCAAGCCUGAUGGAGCAACACCGCGUGAGUGAAGAAGGGUUUCUGCUCGUAAAGCUCUGUUGUUGGAGAAGAACGUGCGUGAGAGUAACUGUUCACGCAGUGACGGUAUCCAACCAGAAAGUCACGGCUAACUACGUGCCAGCAGCCGCGGGAAUACGUAGGUGGCAAGCGUUAUCCGGAUUUAUUGGGCGUAAAGCGAGCGCAGGCGGGUGCUUAGGUCUGAUGGGAAAGCCUUCGGGUUAACCG